GCAAAAAAGAGCCCAAAAAAAUCUGAAAAAAUAUGAAACAAAAUCAAAGCCUCUCCAUUUUUUUUUAGGCUUCUUCGCCUCUUCGGCUCUUUCCUCUUGCUGCCGCAACUCCAGCUCCUCCACAAGUCCACCACCAUCGCUAGCAACAGGCUUGUGCACCACCACCGGACUUCACCAGCAUAACUUCCCCUGCUCCUCUGGUUUAUUUUGGAACACCGAUUUUUUUCCACUGCUUUCUACCGUAGCUCCUCCACCACCACUGCUCCUCAGAGAUUGCAGCAGCCGCUCCUGUGGUAAUUUUUGGAAUUCAAGCUUAAGACUUAACCAAAUUAUCCAAUCGAAUGGAAAGCGAACAAGUUACAGAGACAUCUCCUUCUUAUGAGAAGAUGUACCAGAUUUUCUCAGAUUUCAUGACAAGGAUCACUAAAUUUGAGGAGCUAGUGGACGUGGGAAACAGAUUUCUUGUGGGCUUUCAACAAGGACUUGACUUUCUUCGGCGACCACCAAUUGACAUGACUUCAGAAUUGGUUGCGAACAUUAUAAAAGCUAAUGAAACUAGAAGGCUUUCAUCUUAUAUUGAAGCAGGAUGUGUAAACAUGCAUGAUAGAAAACAAUGUUUGGGCACGUAGAAGUGAGUACCUGCCAUCAUGGACUCUUGGACCAUUUAAUUGGAGCUAAGAGUGUAGUGAACGAACUCCAGUGCCUUCUGGAUGAUGCAGCAACAGCUGUCCAGAAUUCCAAUGAGAAUUUGCAGGAUAAAGACUUUCAUGGUGACUUGGAUUCAAAUACAGAUAUAAUUACCAAAGUAUGAUGUCCCUUCCCUUGAAUAGAACCACAAUUUGUUUGAGAAAAUCAAAUCUGGUUUUGUAGCAAAUUACCAAACUAAAGAAUACUGAAAUUUUAUUCAAAUUUGAAGCGUCAAAGUAAUUUCUUUUUGCUGGUCAAUUAUGAAAAUUCACUCAGUUAUUACUAAUAAAAACUUAUAACCUUUCUUGGAUAUUAUUUUGUCAUUCGUGUUGGUUAUGUUUGUCUAGGAGGAUUUCUUACCCGCCCAUGUUCAGAAACCUGAAAUUACUGAUUAUGCUGCCUUAAUGGCUGUUAUAUAUGGUAUGGUCAAACAAGACUACGAGAUGCAGGAAAGGAUUGUUUCCUCUCUUAGUUUGAAGUCAUCAUCGGGUGAAAUGGAGAGUUAUUGCCUCAUGUGGUCUCUCCGGCCCUUUAUAGACGAUGAAAUCAUACAUAAAGCCUGGAGAUUGAUUCGAUGACUGCUUCUCUGUUCUUUACCAGCUCAUUAAGGAGAGCUGAUCUUUUACACCACAGAAUUGGUUCUGCAAUUCUACCGGGAUAACAUGCAUGUACGUGUAAAAUGCAUAGCAACAUUUUAGUGACAGAAUGUCAAAAUAAUUGCUUCCGGAGAUCGAGUGAGUAAAGUUGUUGUGAGGAAAGAGGUGUAUUGUAAACAGUAGUAUUACUAGCAGUGAUCUUUGAUCUUUGAAUGUAUAUUUGAGUUUGACAUAUCAAACUUGGAUGCUGUGGAGUAAUGAAUUCUGUUCCGUUCCCUAU